rnacentral:rRNA from 1 species
GAUGAACGCUGGCGGCGUGCUUAACACAUGCAAGUCGAACGAAGCACUGUAUUUGAUUUCCUUCGGGACUGAUUAUUUUGUGACUGAGUGGCGGACGGGUGAGUAACGCGUGGGUAACCUGCCUUGUACAGGGGGAUAACAGUUGGAAACGGCUGCUAAUACCGCAUAAGCGCACGGCAUCGCAUGAUGCAGUGUGAAAAACUCCGGUGGUAUAAGAUGGACCCGCGUUGGAUUAGCUAGUUGGUGAGGUAACGGCCCACCAAGGCGACGAUCCAUAGCCGACCUGAGAGGGUGACCGGCCACAUUGGGACUGAGACACGGCCCCAACUCCUACGGGAGGCGGCAGUGGGGAAUAUUGCACAAUGGGCGAAAGCCUGAUGCAGCGCCGCCGCGUGAGCGAAGAAGUAUUUCGGUAUGUAAAGCUCUAUCAGCAGGGAAGAUAAUGACGGUACCUGACUAAGAAGCACCGGCUAAAUACGUG